AAUAGAUACCCCGGUAGUCCACGCCGUAAACGAUGAGUGCUAAGUGUUAGAGGGGUUUCCGCCCUUUAGUGCUGCAGCUAACGCAUUAAGCACUCCGCCUGGGGAGUACGGUCGCAAGACUGAAACUCAAAGGAAUUGACGGGGGCCCGCACAAGCGGUGGAGCAUGUGGUUUAAUUCGAAGCAACGCGAAGAACCUUACCAGGUCUUGACAUCCUCUGACAACUCUAGAGAUAGAGCGUUCCCCUUCGGGGGACAGAGUGACAGGUGGUGCAUGGUUGUCGUCAGCUCGUGUCGUGAGAUGUUGGGUUAAGUCCCGCAACGAGCGCAACCCUUGAUCUUAGUUGCCAGCAUUUAGUUGGGCACUCUAAGGUGACUGCCGGUGACAAACCGGAGGAAGGUGGGGAUGGACGUCAAAUCAUCAUGCCCCUUAUGACCUGGGCUACACACGUGCUACAAUGGAUGGUACAAAGGGCUGCAAGACCGCGAGGUCAAGCCAAUCCCAUAAAACCAUUCUCAGUUCGGA
rnacentral:rRNA from 1 species